rnacentral:rRNA from 1 species
CAGUAGCCGCGGGAAUACGUAGGGUGCAAGCGUUAAUCGGAAUUACUGGGCGUAAAGCGUGCGCAGGCGGUUAUAUAAGACAGAUGUGAAAUCCCCGGGCUCAACCUGGGAACUGCAUCUGUGACUGUAUAGCUAGAGUACGGCAGAGGGGGAUGGAAUUCCGCGUGUAGCAGUGAAAUGCGUAGAUAUGCGGAGGAACACCGAUGGCGAAGGCAAUCCCCUGGGCCUGUACUGACGCUCAUGCACGAAAGCGUGGGGAGCAAACAGGAUUAGAUACCCCUGUAGUCCCUGUCUCUUAUAC